rnacentral:rRNA from 1 species
CCUACGGGUGGCUGCAGUGGGGAAUAUUGGUCAAUGGACGCAAGUCUGAACCAGCCAUGCCGCGUGCAGGAAGACGGCUCUAUGAGUUUUAAACUGCUUUUUUACGAGGGUAAACGCAUAUACGCGGAUCGUUCUGAAAGUAUCGUACGAUUAAGGAUCGGCUACCUCCGGGCCAGCAGCCGCGGUAAUACGGAGGAUUCAAGCGUUAUCCGGAUUUAGUGGGUUUAAAGGGUGCGUAGGCGGUCGGAUAAGUUAGAGGUGAAAUCGCGAGGCUCAACUUCGGAAUUGCCUCUGAUACUGUUCGGCUAGAGAGUAGUUGCGGUAGGCGGAAUGUAUGGUGUAGCGGUGAAAUGCUUAGAGAUCAUACAGAACACCGAUUGCGAAGGCAGCUUACCAAGCUACUUCUGACGUUGAGGCACGAAAGCGUGGGGAGCAAACAGGAUUAGAUACCCUGGUAGUC